GAUGAACGCUGGCGGCGUGCCUAAUACAUGCAAGUCGAGCGAAUGGAUUAAGAGCUUGCACUUAUGAAGUUAGCGGCGGACGGGUGAGUAACACGUGGGUAACCUGCCCAUAAGACUGGGAUAACUCCGGGAAACCGGGGCUAAUACCGGAUAACAUUUUGAACCGCAUGGUUCGAAAUUGAAAGGCGGCUUCGGCUGUCACUUAUGGAUGGACCCGCGUCGCAUUAGCUAGUUGGUGAGGUAACGGCUCACCAAGGCAACGAUGCGUAGCCGGCCUGGGAGGGUGAUCGGCCACACUGGGACUGAGACACGGCCCAGACUCCUACGGGAGGAAGCAGUAGGGAAUCUUCCGCAAUAGACGAAAGUCUGACGGAGCAACGCCGCGUGAGUGAUGAAGGCUUUCGGGUCGUAAAACUCUGUUGUUAGGGAAGAACAAGUGCUAGUUGAAUAAGCUGGCACCUUGACGGUACCUAACCAGAAAGCCACGGCUAACUACGUGCCAGCCGCCGCGGUAA
rnacentral:rRNA from 1 species